GACGAACGCUGGCGGCGUGCUUAACACAUGCAAGUCGAACGGAAAGGCCCUGCUUUUGUGGGGUGCUCGAGUGGCGAACGGGUGAGUAACACGUGAGUAACCUGCCCUUGACUUUGGGAUAACUUCAGGAAACUGGGGCUAAUACCGGAUAGGAGCUCCUGCUGCAUGGUGGGGGUUGGAAAGUUUCGGCGGUUGGGGAUGGACUCGCGGCUUAUCAGCUUGUUGGUGGGGUAGUGGCUUACCAAGGCUUUGACGGGUAGCCGGCCUGUGAGGGUGACCGGCCAGAGUGGGGCUGAGAGACGGCCCAGACUCCUACGGGAGGCAGCAGUGGGGAAUAUUGCCCAAUGGGCGGAAGCCUGAUGCAGCAACGCCGCGUGCGGGAUGACGGCCUUCGGGCUGUAAACCGCUUUCGCCUGUGACGAAGCGUGAGUGACGGUAAUGGGUAAAGAAGCACCGGCUAACUACGUG
rnacentral:rRNA from 1 species